rnacentral:rRNA from 1 species
UACGUAGGGACCGAGCGUUGUCCGGAAUCAUUGGGCGUAAAGAGCGUGUAGGCGGCCAACUAAGUCCUGCGUGAAAUCUCGGGGCUCAACCCCGAGCGGUCGUGGGAAACUGGUUGGCUAGAGUGCGGGAGAGGAGAGUGGAAUUCCUGGUGUAGCGGUGAAAUGCGCAGAUAUCAGGAAGAACACCCGUGGCGAAGGCGGCUCUCUGGACGGAUACUGACGCUGAGACGCGAAAGCGUGGGGAGCAAACAGG